rnacentral:rRNA from 1 species
AACGUAGGGCGCGAGCGUUGUCCGGAUUUAUUGGGCGUAAAGAGCUCGUAGGCGGCUCGUUGCGUCGGCUGUGAAAACCCGCAGCUCAACUGUGGGCUUGCAGCUGAUACGGGCGGGCUGGGAUUCGGUAGGGGAGACUGGAAUUCCUGGUGUAGCGGUGAAAUGCGCAGAUAUCAGGAGGAACACCGGUGGCGAAGGCGGGUCUCUGGGCCGAUAUCGACGCUGAGGAGCGAAAGCGUGGGGAGCGAACAGG